rnacentral:rRNA from 1 species
UACGUAGGCAGCGAGCGUUGUUCGGAGUUACUGGGCGUAAAGAGUGCGUAGGCGGUUUUCUAAGUUUGGUGUGAAAUCUCCCGGCUUAACUGGGAGGGUGCGCCGAAGACUGGAAGGCUUGAGUAUGGGAGAGGUAAGCGGAAUUCCUGGUGUAGCGGUGAAAUGCGUAGAUAUGCGGAGGAACACCGAUGGCGAAGGCAAUCCCCUGGGCCUGCACUGACGCUCAUGCACGAAAGCGUGGGGAGCAAACAGG